UACGGAGGGUGCAAGCGUUAUCCGGAUUCACUGGGUUUAAAGGGCGCGUAGGAGGGCAGGUAAGUCAGUGGUGAAAUCUCCGAGCUUAACUUGGAAACUGCCGUUGAUACUAUCUGUCUUGAAUAUUGUGGAGGUGAGCGGAAUAUGUCAUGUAGCGGUGAAAUGCUUAGAUAUGACAUAGAACACCAAUUGCGAAGGCAGCUCGCUACGCAUAUAUUGACUCUGAGGCACGAAAGCGUGGGGAUCAAACAGG
rnacentral:rRNA from 1 species